CCUACGGGAGGCAGCAGUGAGGAAUAUUGGUCAAUGGUGGCAACUCUGACCCAGCCAUGCCGCGUGAGUGAAGAAGGUUUUCGGAUUGUAAAGCUCUUUCUGUUGUGACGAUGAUGAUGGUACCAUUUACAGAAUCCGCGUAUAACUUCGUGCCGGCAGCCGCGGUUAUACGACGGGGGCAGGCGUUGUUCGGAAUUACUGGGCGUAAAGGGGGUGUAGGCGGUUUAGUGAGAUAGUGGUGAAAUCCUAGAGGUUAAACUUGGAACUGCCAUUAUAACUUUUAGACUAGAAUUACAGAGAGGAUAGUGGAAUGCCGGGUGUAGGGGUGAAAUUCGUAGAUAUUGGGUAGAACACCAGUGGCGAAGGCGACUAUCUGGCUGUACAUUGACGCUGAGGCGCGAAAGCAUGGGGAUCGAACAGGAUUAGAUACCCCAGUAGUC
rnacentral:rRNA from 1 species